rnacentral:rRNA from 1 species
ACUUUCAACAACGGAUCUCUUGGUUCCGACAUCGAUGAAGAACGCAGCGAAAUGCGAUAAGUAAUGUGAAUUGCAGAAUUCCGUGAAUCAUCGAAUCUUUGAACGCACAUUGCGCCCCCUGGUAUUCCGGGGGGCAUGCCUGUCCGAGCGUCAUUGCAACCCUCAAGCGCGGCUUGUGUGUUGGGCUUUCGUCCCCCCGUGGACGUGCCCGAAAAGCAGCGGCGGCGUCGUGUUCCGGUGCCCGAGCGUAUGGGGCUUUGUCACCCGCUCUAGAGGCCCGGCCGGCUCCGGCCCAUCUCAACCCUUUAGCGGGAGGGCGGUCUUCGGAUCGGUCUCCCCACUCAGGUUGACCUCGGAUCAGGUAGGGAUACCCGCUGAACUUAAGCAUAUCAAUAAGCGGAGGAAAAGAAACCAACAGGGAUUGCCUCAGUAACGGCGAGUGAAGCGGCAAAAGCUCAAAUUUGAAAUCUGGCUCCUUCGGGGCCCGAGUUGUAAUUUGCAGAGGAUGCUUCGGGCGUGGCCGCGGUCUAAGUCCCCUGGAACGGGGCGUCGCAGAGGGUGAGAAUCCCGUCUUCGGCCGGCCGGCUUCGCCCGUGUGAAGCUCCUUCGACGAGUCGAGUUGUUUGGGAAUGCAGCUCUAAAUGGGUGGUAAAUUUCAUCUAAAGCUAAAUAUUGGUCGGAGACCGAUAGCGCACAAGUAGAGUGAUCGAAAGAUGAAAAGCACUUUGAAAAGAGAGUUAAACAGCAUGUGAAAUUGUUGAAAGGGAAGCGCUUGCGACCAGAGUCGGCCGCGGGGGUUCAGCGGGCAUUCGUUGCCCGUGCACUCCCCCGCGGGCGGGCCAGCGUCGGUUUUGACGGCCGGUCAAAGGCCCCCGGAAUGUGUCGCCUCUCGGGGCGUCUUAUAGCCGGGGGUGCAAUGCGGCCAGUCGGGACCGAGGAACGCGCUUCGGCACGGACGCUGGCUUAAUGGUCGUAAGCGACCCGUCUUGAAACACGGACCAAGGAGUCUAACAUCCACGCGAGUGUUCGGGUGUCAAACCCGUACGCGCAGUGAAAGCGAACGGAGGUGGGAACCCUUAAGGGUGCACCAUCGACCGAUCCUGAAGUCUUCGGAUGGAUUUGAGUAAGAGCGUGGCUGUUGGGACCCGAAAGAUGGUGAACUAUGCCUGAAUAGGGUGAAGCCAGAGGAAACUCUGGUGGAGGCUCGCAGCGGUUCUGACGUGCAAAUCGAUCGUCAAAUUUGGGCAUAGGGGCGAAAGACUAAUCGAACCAUCUAGUAGCUGGUUCCUGCCGAAGUUUCCCUCAGGAUAGCAGUAGCGUUUUCAGUUUUAUGAGGUAAAGCGAAUGAUUAGAGGCCUUGGGGUUGAAACAACCUUAACCUAUUCUCAAACUUUAAAUAUGUAAGAAGCCCUUGUUACUUUAUUGAACGUGGGCACUGGAAUGGAUCGUUACUAGUGGGCCAUUUUUGGUAAGCAGAACUGGCGAUGCGGGAUGAACCGAACGCGAGGUUAAGGUGCCGGAAUGCACGCUCAUCAGACACCACAAAAGGUGUUAGUUCAUCUAGACAGCCCGACGGUGGCCAUGGAAGUCGGAAUCCGCUAAGGAGUGUGUAACAACUCACGGGCCGAAUGAACUAGCCCUGAAAAUGGAUGGCGCUCAAGCGUGCUACCCAUACCUCGCCGUCGGGGUAGAAUCGAUGCCCCGACGAGUAGGCAGGCGUGGAGGUCCGUGACGAAGCCUAGGGAGUGAUCCCGGGUCGAACGGCCUCUAGUGCAGAUCUUGGUGGUAGUAGCAAAUACUCAAAUGAGAACUUUGAGGACUGAAGUGGGGAAAGGUUCCAUGUGAACAGCAGUUGGACAUGGGUUAGUCGAUCCUAAGACAUAGGGAAACUCCGUUUUAAAGCGCGCCCUCGUGCGCCGUUCGUCGAAAGGGAAGCCGGUUAACAUUCCGGCACCUGGAUGUGGAUUCUCCACGGCAACGUAACUGAACGCGGAGACGUCGGCGGGGGCCCUGGGAAGAGUUAUCUUUUCUUCUUGACGGCCUAUCACCCUGAAAUCGGUUUGUCCGGAGCUAGGGUUCAAUGGCCGGCAGAGCCCCGCACCUUUGCGGGGUCCGGUGCGCCCCCGACGACCCUUGAAAAUCCGCGGGAAGGAAUAGUUUUCACGCCAGGUCGUACUCAUAACCGCAGCAGGUCUCCAAGGUGAAAAGCCUCUAGUUGAUAGAACAAUGUAGAUAAGGGAAGUC